UGCAGUUGAGAUUUAUGUUUAUUGAUUGUUUUCAUUUUGGGUACUGAUAUUUGCAGCCUGUUCGGGGUUGGUUCCUUUAGGAGUAUAGAUUUUUUUGCACGAGGCAGAGCAUGUGGUGCUUGAGUUUCUUGUUUCUUUUUAUAUUUGGUGUGUGUACGUGUAGUGUUUUCAAAAAAUUCAUUUUUGAAUUAAAUUUUCUAUCAAUAGAGCCAGAAAAAGAUUCUUGCUUUAACCUCGAGGAACAUCAAAAUGGAUAUUUUAAGUCUUAAAUGUUGAAUUCAGUCAUUUUUAUGUGAAAUUGCAGCAGGGCUAACGGUUUUGGUGUUAUUUACUAUGAACGAAAUCUGCAAGAAAAUAAUUAGAUGAUGAUAUGCGUCCUAGAUGAGGAAUCAUUGUGCCUUUCACCUGUCUGUUCUCGAAAUCAGUUGGUAGUAUUUCGGUUUGAAUCUUUACUGCUAUGAAUUGUAAUUGCAUUUCAUUGAUGCCCUCAAGCAUGAUUGAGGUUGUUGCUAUAACUGAAUUUUGCUUGUUAGUAGUCGCAUUUAUGCUUUCUUCCCCCCUUUCCUCGGAGGACGCAUUUGAGAGUAUGCUUCGAUCGUAGUUUAUUCACAAGUGGUAUUGCUUGUUUUUGUUCUCUAUGUUCAGAGUACUGCAAUCAAUCCUGCAGAUCCAGGCAUUAUGUAUAAAUUUGAUUCUGGAUGAAUGCAUAACACCAACUCAAAUCAUGGAUUGUCGGCAAGAGAUCUUCCUGGGAAAAAUGAUGCACGUUCUUCUCUGUCGUCACUCGUCAGCUUCAAGAAGUUCCAUAAGAGCUGCUAACGCUGUCAAUAAAGGUCAACUAGAAGCAGGGAGAUUAGAUAAUCAAGUGGGCUUCUUUGACUAGAAAGUCUUGUUUUAAAAUUGGAGGAGUCUCUUACUUUUGAUUUUUACAUGCAUUGCCGCAAAAGGGAUGGAGUUGCUGAGGAGGAAGUGGGAGGUGACGAUGCUCUGCACAUUGUGCAAUGCUGAUGUAGUUAAUCUAUUAUUUUUAUUUUGAUGAUUUUAUCACGUGCUUUUUGUUAGUAUACUGUAUUUGUAAAAUAAUUCUGGAGAAAAUAAAAUAACAUAAACGAAACAGAAG